rnacentral:rRNA from 1 species
UGAGGAAUAUUGCGCAAUGAGCGAAAGCUAGACGCAGCAACGCCGCGUGGACGAUGAAGGCCUUCGGGUCGUAAAGUCCUUUUCAGAGGGACGAGUGAGGACGGUACCUCUGGAAUAAGUCACGGCUAACUACGUGCCAGCAGCCGCGGUAAAACGUAGGUGGCAAGCGUUAUCCGGAUUCACUGGGCGUAAAGCGCCUGCAGGCGGUCUUGUAAGUGGGAUGUGAAAUCUCCUGGCUUAACUGGGAGGGGCCAUUCCAUACUGCGGGACUCGAGGGCAGAAGAGGGAAGCGGAAUUCCCGGUGUAGUGGUGAAAUGCGUAGAUAUCGGGAGGAACACCAGUGGCGAAGGCGGCUUCCUGGCCUGCUCCUGACGCUAAGAGGCGAAAGCUAGGGGAGCGAACGGGAUUAGAAACCCCGGUAGUCCUAGCCGUAAACGAUGGAUACUGGGUGUCGGCGGUCCUAACCCCGUCGGUGCCGAAGCCAACGCGUUAAGUAUCCCGCCUGGGGACUACGGCCGCAAGGUUA